UUAGACACCAUUAAUGUAGACAGUAAAACCGGUUGUUCAAAAUAUGUGAAUAAAUUAUUUCUGGUUUGGUAUAAAUCAUCCAGCAGAAUUAUGCACCAUAGUACAUUAGUUUACAGUAAACUGUUCCAUCUCAUUAAACCCUAACCCUCAUAUAGUCAGAAUUCCUUGAUAUAAUGGUGCUGUCACUGAAGUCUCUAUUUAAACCUUUUCAUUUAUGUUAAAUACAAUUUGAUAAAAUCUCAGUUUGGAC